rnacentral:rRNA from 1 species
AAGCCAGACUCCUACGGGAGGCAGCAGUGGGGAAUAUUGCACAACGGGCGCAAGCCUGAUGCAGCCAUGCCGCGUGUAUGAAGAAGGCCUUCGGGUUGUAAAGUACUUUCAGCGGGGAGGAAGGUGUUGAGGUUAAUAACCUCAGCAAUUGACGUUACCCGCAGAAGAAGCACCGGCUAACUCCGUGCCAGCAGCCGCGGUAAUACGGAGGGUGCAAGCGUUAAUCGGAAUUACUGGGCGUAAAGCGCACGCAGGCGGUCUGGCAAGUCGGAUGUGAAAUCCCCGGGCUCAACCUGGGAACUGCAUUCGAAACUGGCAGGCUGGAGUUUUGUAGAGGGGGGUAGAAUUCCAGGUGUAGCGGUGAAAUGCGUAGAGAUCUGGAGGAAUACCGGUGGCGAAGGCGGCCCCCUGGACAAAGACUGACGCUCAGGUGCGAAAGCGUGGGGAGCAAACAGGAUUAGAUACCCGUGUAU